UACAUGGGGUGCAAACGUUGCUCGGAAUUAUUGGGCGUAAAGCGUGCGCAGGCGGUUUUGUAAGUCUGUCGUGAAAGCCCCGGGCUCAACCUGGGAAUUGCGAUGGAGACUGCAAGGCUUGAAUCUGGCAGAGGGGGGUAGAAUUCCACGUGUAGCAGUGAAAUGCGUAGAGAUGUGGAGGAACACCGAUGGCGAAGGCAGCCCCCUGGGUCAAGAUUGACGCUCAUGCACGAAAGCGUGGGGAGCAAACAGG
rnacentral:rRNA from 1 species